rnacentral:rRNA from 1 species
AUUGAACGCUGGCGGCAGGCCUAACACAUGCGAGUCGAGCGGAUGAAGGGAGCUUGCUCCUGGAUUCAGCGGCGGACGGGUGAGUAAUGCCUAGGAAUCUGCCUGGUAGUGGGGGAUAACGUCCGGAAACGGGCGCUAAUACCGCAUACGUCCUGAGGGAGAAAGUGGAGGAUCUUCGGACCUCACGCUAUCAGAUGAGCCUAGGUCGGAUUAGCUAGUUGGUGGGGUAAAGGCCUACCAAGGCGACGAUCCGUAACUGGUCUGAGAGGAUGAUCAGUCACACUGGAACUGAGACACGGUCCAGACUCCUACGGGAGGCAGCAGUGGGGAAUAUUGGACAAUGGGCGAAAGCCUGAUCCAGCCAUGCCGCGUGUGUGAAGAAGGUCUUCGGAUUGUAAAGCACUUUAAGUUGGGAGGAGGGGCAGUAAGUUAAUACCUUGCUGUUUUGACGUUACCAACAGAAUAAGCACCGGCUAACUUCGUG